rnacentral:rRNA from 1 species
UACGGGGGGGGCAAGCGUUGUUCGGAAUUACUGGGCGUAAAGGGCUCGUAGGCGGCCAACUAAGUCGGAUGUGAAAUCCCCAGGCUUAACCUGGGAACUGCAUCCGAUACUGGAUGGCUUGAAUCCGGGAGAGGGAUGCAGAAUUCCAGGUGUAGCGGUGAAAUGCGUAGAUAUUGGGAGGAACACCAGUGGCGAAGGCGGCUCACUGGACCGGUACUGACGCUGAGGAGCGAAAGCCAGGGGAGCAAACGGG